GAGAGAGAGAGAGGCUGUGUCCCAAUUCCUAGGACGCAUCCUUCGAAGGCUGCAUUCGAAGGCUGCGUCGACGCCGAUUGCGUCACCGCGACGCGCCAAGUGCUGUCCCAAUUCCAAGGGUCCUUCCCGGAUUUGAAGGAUGCAUCAGCUGUAUCCUUCACGGCCCAACGUAUCCAAAGAUCCUUCACGGCCCAACGUAUCCCUCCCAAGAUUCAUUGCGCACUCAAUCAAUGGAGAUGGCGGAGAAUGGCGAUUUAAGUUUUGCAUUUAAAUGGAGCCAGCAGCAUACUGCUCGAUUUAUUCUAUUGAGAGGGGAGAACGAUGAGCUGUUCACCGGAGUGAAAUACUCGGCAAGUGUGGCUUGGGGGUAAGGAAAACAAUCGUUUAUUUAUAUCGACAAUUCUGGAGAAAAUAGGCCUGCAGGGGAAGGUGACUCCCCUGCAGGCAAAGAAAAAAUGGGACAAUUUAAAAUAAAUAAAUAAAGAUUGCAAGUAUCCAGGGUCAGGAGAGGGGGUAGGUGGGAAACCAACUGCUGCCACUUGGCCCUGGUUUGUCCCCAUGGAUAAGGUAUUGGGACAGAGGCAUUCCACCAACCCCCCUGUCCUAAUUGCCUCCAUCCCUGAGAACACACCACGGCCAAGUACAGCAUUGGUGGAGGACAAGGAUCAGGAGGAGGAAAGACAGCGAGGGCCAAGGUCCAGAAAGAGGGACAGAGAGGAAGACAUGUUCCAGAGUCGCUCACUAUCUUCCGAAAAGGACUCAAGACUCACCUGUUCAGAGUCCACCUCGACUCUGCAUAGCCACCCUCCCCCUUCUGGCCACCAUUGUACACUGUGUUGUAUUGUAUUGUAUUAUAGUACUUAACUGUGUAGCAACUGCAGUAGCUGCUAUUAUGGCACAGGGAAUUGAUUAGCCUAGCGAUUGUGGUACUUGCACUUUGUUCUAUGAACAUCCUUUCUGUACCGACAGCGAUAUAUAGAUGCACUUCUUAUGACAAAUGUACUUAUUGUAAGUCGCUUUGGAUAAAAGCGUCUGCUAAAUGCCCUAAAUGUAAAAUGUAAAUGUUCCAGUUAAUAAAGAGGACAUGAGGCUACAAAGGGAGGAGAGAAGAGCCCAGGAGAGCAGGGAAAGAAUGGAUAGGUUUUUCUCAAUUUUGGAGCGUUUGGUGGACAAAUAACUUAUGUUCUUUUAUAUUUAACACAUUGUUUAUUAUUAUUUACAUAUUUAUUGAAACUAACUUAUUUAACUAUUUAUUAACUAACUAUUUAACUAACUUUUUUUGUAUUGACUAAUGUAGUCGUAUAUAACUUAUAAAACAUAUAUAAAAUAAAACUAUUUACAACAAAAAA
ensembl:lncRNA